UUGACAAAUUAUGAAUCAAUCCUGGAGAUACUUUUUCCUAACCUCAUUUAAAGCUACUUCCCAAAGUCCUUAUUUUCUACUUUCAGGUUGAUGUCUCCUCAAGCCAAUGAUGUAAGUGACCAAAUCGAUCAUGAGGCAAUCCCACCUUUACAUCCAGUCCAAGGCUUGAUCUUAUGGUUCCAACAAGGUCUUAUGGACAUUCUUGGACUGAUAAUUGCCAUGAUUUACCUCUGGGAUCGGGCCACUGCCACCUAAACAAAUUAUCAAGGGGAUCAGAAGAAAAUCCAGCUAUUUGAUGGUUGGAAAUGUACAGCAACUGGAACUACAUCCUUACUUGGGAGUGUGAUCUUCAGAACUACCUCCUGUGCGCCAUGAUGUUCACAAGAGAAACCACAUAGAACCUCAAGGAGUCAAGAGGAA